AAACUGAAGAGUUUGAUCCUGGCUCAGAUUGAACGCUGGCGGCAUGCCUUACACAUGCAAGUCGAACGGCAGCACGGGUACUUGUACCUGGUGGCGAGUGGCGAACGGGUGAGUAAUACAUCGGAACGUACCUUAUCGUGGGGGAUAACGCAGCGAAAGCUGUGCUAAUACCGCAUACGCCCUGAGGGGGAAAGCGGGGGAUCGAAAGACCUCGCGCGAUUAGAGCG
rnacentral:rRNA from 1 species